UGUACUAUCCAGUAAAACAACACGGCUACACUUCUGUUCGUUUGCUGCUUAAAAUGUGAAAGAGAAGUGGUGUAGCCCAGGACAGCAGGAAUUUUUACUGCCUUUCACAGAUUCAGCACUUGCUGUCUUUGGAGAAGAGCUUGCAGUGCUCCUGAGUACGUUCCUUCAGGGCUAGUCCUCUCCAUGCUCCAGGAAAUCCAUUGGUGUCCCCAUCCAUGAACGACCCUAGAAGCUGUUCGUCCCUUCAGAGUUGUGUUGCCUCCUUCUGUGCCUGGUUUGUUGCCACACUACUCCUCCAUGGAGCCUAGGAACCUUUAUGUUCCAGCUGACUUUCUCUAACAGAGCAACCGAUGUGCUUUUUCACCAGAACUAACUGAAGCACGAACUCAUUGGGACUGAAGGAAAACUGUCUCAGAGACAAAAGGGAUGUCUUUAUCGCACUGGCAGUUUUCUGCCUCUUUGCCAUAGACCGUGCACUUCUGACAGCGGUACUGUGCACAGGCUCAGGAGCUGUGCUGGAGGACUGAGCCCAGCUGGAGCUGGUUUCCCCAUUCCUUCAGGCAAGCAGGGGUAGUUCUUGGUUUGAGUAAUGCUCAACAUCCUCACUGAAAAAAAUCUGGCUGUGUAGGUGCAGUAUGUG
rnacentral:lncRNA from 1 species